UUGAAUCAAUCGCGUUACCCACCUCGCUCCGCCGACCGAUCUUGAUUGUCUGCGGAUUAUACAGAGACGUCCCCCGACCGAGAGGGAAAAUUUAGUCAUCGAUUGAAAAGAGGAAGGAGGAAAGCAGAGGCCAAUAAUGUUCGGUUCGAUAAGUUCGUGCGUAAGAAUUCCUGUAUUUAACACGCGCUUGUUAUUCCAUUGGCUCGGUUUAUCGCGAGUAACAACCCUGUGCUAUGGUACAUGAGUGUUCCAACGAAUGUUUCGACGUUUCCAAUGAGUGUUUCGACGAAUGAAACGUCCGGAAAAUCGAAAAUCAUGCACACGUACAAGUUUAUACGCGUAAUCGAUGGUUUUGUCGUAUCGAGUUGGUCGCACCCACUGUAAUCAUGGCCUAACGAUACACAGCAGCAACGAUGGUAGAACAAAACCGCGAAACAAGCAUUACUGAUUCUACUAGGCGGAUCAUCGACGAAACCUUUGCCCGCAAGGUAUCAUAGCAUCGUUUCGAAUUACAGAGAGGGCUCGCGUUUCGCGACAGGUCACUGUGUAGGAAAGCAUUCUUAAUACGUGAGUGCGGGUUCGGGGACGGCGGCGCAGUCAGAGUCGCAGUGGACGAAGUAAUACAGAUAAAAGCAUAGAAUCAUAAAUAAUCCAUCGCGUAACGUUCCGUUACUUGGUACGGGAGUACCUUAGGAAGUGGCAGCGCGCGGUUCGAUCCAUCGCGGCGUUUCAUCCUGUUUCGCGAAAACUUGAAAAAUCGGAGUAUACCGCUGGCGCAAAUGGAAAACCCAGGAGGAGGACUCUAUUCCGGAAUACAGGAGAAGGAGGAGUAAGAGUAGAAGGUAGGAGACGAGGGUGGCGAGCAGGAGGCGAGGAUGAGAGGGUGGCGGUGAAACUCAGCGUAUUUACAUCGCGGCUUACCCGUGAUUAUUUUUGCUUCUGGGAGUUCGCUACCGUCUCGAGUAUAAGCUAGAGGCAGAUAAUAAAAGCCCGGUGGCAAGAGGCAGCAGGCCGAGAGUGGAGGAGGUGAAGGGUCUAAACGCUGAAGAGAAGAGACGUGGAGCGUCGACGGUAUGGCCGGCCUCAUAUUAAGUCGGUCCGCGGUGAACGAGGCGCUGCAGGGACGGCAGGAUGUGACGAGAGAGCGGAGUGGCGCUGCGGACGAGAGGAGCGAAAAGAGGAAAGGAGAGGAUCGUACAGACGGUUUGCCGGGGGUGCGAGGCCAGAGGCAACCAGGGGGUAGCACAGAAUGAGACGUGUAAUAAAUUGGACGUGUGAAGGAUAUAUGGAGGUCAACGUUAUUUUGUUCAACGCAAUCAUCAAGCAACACAAACGAUCUUUUUUUACAUUAUUAUUUUCCUAUUAAGAUACGAAGGUGGGCUUCCGUUUUUAACUAGGACUAUAUAACAUUUCGCAUUAUUUGAUAGUACUUCACAAAAUCGAUUCAUUAACCUUUCAUGGAUACUAUCGAUAUCGAUUAAUGUUUGAGAUAUCGAGCUUAUAGAUCUGCUAAUUUUUGCAGAGAAACACUGCUGAAGUUGCGGAGCAUGGCUGGUAGUGGUCUUGCUCGCGUCUGAAGUGUCACGUGUUAAACGUUGCCUCUUGAGAGAGAUAUCUAUUGAUAUUUAUUGUUGUUGUUGGUUCUCACCUAGGAAAAAGAACGGAAAGAUGAUUACAACAAUAAAUUGCUGACACAACCCCUUCGUAUCAGUUUCAAGGAGCAAUGUCUAACACGUGACAUAUGAGGCGGGAACAAGACCCCCAGCCGCGCUCCCUAUGCCAGCAGUGUAUUUUUUUCGUAAAAAAUUAGUCAAUUUGAAAAAUUUGUGCCUCGAUAGCUAAUCGAAAUCGAUGACAUACAUAAAAGGUUAAUGAAGACACCUUGGCAAGUGCUAUCGAAUCGUGCGAAGAAAAAUAUAUAAUCGUAACUAAAAAGCAAACUUUACCUUCGUACCUUGGGAAAAGAUAAUGUAAAAAAAGAAAAAGAGAUUAGUAUUCGUCGAAAAUAUGCCUUCCUUGUACCAUGCAAUGGUAUGAUGAAAAAUGUUAUACCGUGCAAGACAAAUUUUUCGUUUCUGCAAUACGUCAGGAGAUAAAGGACUGUCCAUUGUUAUCGGGGACGAUGUAUGUAUUACCAUAUGUAUUAAACAAGUAUUGUAUAUAUAUAUGUUGAAAUCAUUAAAUUUAAUAUAUGUAUUUAA